GAUGAAGAACGCAGCGAAAUGCGAUAAGUAAUGUGAAUUGCAGAAUUCCGUGAAUCAUCGAGUCUUUGAACGCACAUUGCGCCCCCUGGUAUUCCGGGGGGCAUGCCUGUCCGAGCGUCAUUGCCGCCCUCAAGCACGGCUUGUGUGUUGGGCCCCCGCCCCCCGGCUUCGGGGGGCGGGCCCGAAAGGCAGCGGCGGCACCGCGUCCGGUCCUCGAGCGUAUGGGGCUUCGUCACCCGCUCUGUAGGCCCGGCCGGCGCCCGCCGGCGACCCCAAUCAAUCUUUCGAGGUUGACCUCGGAUCAGGUAGGGAUACCCGCUGAACUUAAGCAUAUCAAUAAGCGGAGGA
rnacentral:misc_RNA from 1 species